AUUGAACGCUGGCGGCAUGCUUUACACAUGCAAGUCGAACGGCAGCGCGGGCUUCGGCCUGGCGGCGAGUGGCGAACGGGUGAGUAAUGCAUCGGAACGUGCCCAGUAGUGGGGGAUAGCCCGGCGAAAGCCGGAUUAAUACCGCAUACGACCUGAGGGUGAAAGCGGGGGCCCGAAAGGCCUCGCGCCAUUCGAGCCGCCGCUGCCGGCUUAGCCAGCUGGUGGGGUCAAGGCUUCCCACGGCGACGCUCCGUCGCUGGUCUGAGCGGACGACCGGCCCCACGGGGAGUGGGACACGGCCCAGACUCCUACGGGAGGCAGCAGUGGGGAAUUUUGGACGAUGGGGGCAACCCUGAUCCAGCCAUGCCGCGUGCGGGAAGAAGGCCUUCGGGUUGUAAACCGCUUUUGUUCGGGAAGAAAUCCUCUGGGCUAAUACCCCGGGGGGAUGACGGUACCGGAAGAAUAAGCACCGGCUAGCUACGUG
rnacentral:rRNA from 1 species